AUGCUGUAUCAGGACAGAAUUUAAUGUAUUUUUUUCCUUUUGAAUGCAGAAAUUUAUUCAGAAAACACACUUCUGGAUGAACUAAGACAAAAGAAGUAGAGUUUUAACAUGGGUGCAGCUGCAAAAAGCAAGAUCUCACUGACUGGAGAGAUGUUAACUCCUAAAACGAUGGACACGCUGAGCUAAAAAGGGAAAUUUCACACAUGGCUUUGAAAAACUGUCAGACAGAAUUAUGUGAAUAAUAUUUUCCUUACUUCUGAGAGAAAAGUACUUUUGCAUAACUAUUUCUGUGUAUGGAGAAAUGUGGAAGGAUACGAGCAGCAUCAGUAUUGCUUAUAAUCAUUAUCACUGGUUUUCUCUGAGGAAAAGGAAGACUCUUCUAAGUGGUAUUGGUGGAUGAUAACUGCUUAUGUGGAUAUCAUUAACCCCUGUGUAUGCAAUUCAAAGUUUGCGUUCAAGAAAGUGCAUUGAAUUAAUGAGCUAAAAACCAAACUGACCAACCAAAGAACAGAGGUAAAAGAGCAAUCAGGUUUGCACCAAAAGGUUACAACUUAUUAGCUGUGAGACAAAACUAAUAUAAACCCAUCUGGAAAGGUGGCUUUUUGCAAAUGCCAAAAUUAGGACUGUGUGCCAUAUCAUCUCCUCUUAAGCAGGUAAAAUAGAGGUUAAGCUGGACUCAGGGGGACCAUGGCCUGUGCUGACCCAAG
rnacentral:lncRNA from 1 species